GUAGGGAAUAUUAGUAAUGGGCGAAAGCCUGAACUAGCAACGCCGCGUGUGCGAAGAAGGCCUUCGGGUUGUAAAGCACUUUUUGAGAGGAUGAGGAAGGACGGUACUCUCAGAAUAAGUCUCGGCUAACUACGUGCCAGCAGCCGCGGUAACACGUAGGAGGCGAACGUUAUCCGGAUUUACUGGGCGUAAAGCGCGUGUAGGUGGUUUGGUAAGUAGGGCGUGAAAGCUCCUGGCUCAACUGGGAGAGGCCGUUCUAAACUGCCGAACUAGAGGAUGGUAGAGGGGGGUGGAAUUCCGGGUGUAGCGGUGGAAUGCGCAGAUAUCCGGAGGAACACCAGUGGCGAAAGCGGCCUCCUGGACCACUCCUGACACUCAGACGCGAAAGCUAGGGUAGCAAACGGGAUUAGAAACCCCGGUAGUCC
rnacentral:rRNA from 1 species